rnacentral:misc_RNA from 1 species
UCUCCGUUGGUGAACCAGCGGAGGGAUCAUUACCGAGUUUACAACUCCCAAACCCAAUGUGAACGUUACCAAACUGUUGCCUCGGCGGGAUCUCUGCCCCGGGUGCGUCGCAGCCCCGGACCAAGGCGCCCGCCGGAGGACCAACCAAAACUCUUAUUGUUUACCCCCUCGCGGGUUUUUUUUUAUAAUCUGAGCCUUCUCGGCGCCUCUCGUAGGCGUUUCGAAAAUGAAUCAAAACUUUCAACAACGGAUCUCUUGGUUCUG